AAAAAAGUGACAGUUAUUUUGAGGGUUGCUUUGUUGGAUGGAUCGGUGGACAGUAGGGGGGGCUGUUAAGCACUUGGGCUGCAGGCACGUUGUGGAAGCGGACCGAGUUGAGACCUUGGCCCAGGGAUCCCGUAGAAUUGAGCUGGGCUUCGGCCUUCCUGUCGCUUCAGAGAGACGUGUCCGCUUCCCCCUGGCUGGUCACUGGCGAACGAACACUCCACACAUCCUGAGAAACCAUCUCCGUAUGUCCGCCUCCGGCAACCCCCUGGACGCCCUCCCGGCGGCGGUCCUCGCCGACGUCCUGGGCCGCGUCGCGGACGCCGGGGACAUCGCAGCUUGCCGCCUCGCCUCGCGAGCGCUCCUCGUCGCGUCCUACCUCUGCCCCCGCGCCCGCCUCUGCGCCGCCGACUGCGUGCGCCGCCGCCGCGGCGGCGGCGAGGGCCGGGCCGGGGCCCCCGCUUUCCGCACGACCGCUCGGAGCCUCGCGUCGCUCCUCGGGGCGCACCUCCGCUCCCUGUCGCUCGACGCGGCCGACGGGCAGGGCUUCCCCGAUGACGCGAUGUGGGUGGAGGAGGGGGAAUUUGACGAGGCCGACGACCUGCACCUCACCAGCGAGGAGGCCGUGACGGCGUGGGCAGCCACCGCCGCGGGGCCCGUCCUCCGGGAGGUGGAGAUCGCCGAUUACUGGCCGCAGGCGUGCUGGAGGAAGGCGGAGGCGCUCCCUCUCAUCUCCCACUACUGUCUCAAUCUCACCAGGUUGGGCCUAAAAAAUGCAUGGCUUUCUGUUGAUGGGCUCAAGAAAAUGUCAAAUCUGACUCAUCUAACGCUUGAGUUCAUUAGACUAGAUGAUGAAGACCUCAACCAAUUGAAUGAAUGCUUCCCUUGCCUUCACACUCUUAAUUUUAUAGGAGUCGGAGGGCUCAAGGACCCUAAGAUUCACCUUCUUCAACUGAAGACUUGCCGCUGGGAGGUAUCAAAUGUCCCACGGUCUUUGGCUGUCCUUGCACCAAACUUGGUUUCUCUAGAAUUGAAAUGUGUUCGACCAGAUAAGCUCAUUCUGGAUACUCCAUCCUUGUCUACUCUGAAGCUCACCAUUGAGAAACUUGGUGCAACUGUCCAAGUUGAUGGUCUUGUGAGCUUGACAGAUCUUCGCAUAGAGUCACUGGAUCUUAGUUACCUGUUUCUCGUAUUUGUGGGCAGUCGAGCUAUCAGGAUGUUGGAGCUUGAGCUAUCUGAGUCUGCAAGCCAGUAUGAUCUUCUUGAAGCCGUUAACCCAGAUUAUCUUCUGAAAAUGCUUGCUAGCAUCAGUGAGGUCAAGCUGGGCCCAAGAUUUUCAUGUGGACUGACAUUAUGUCUGGCCCUAUGCAAAGAUAGUGGGUUUACAAGUUGCCUAAAGAAACUCCUAAUUCAUGUGCCACAAUCAGAGAGUUCUUUUCAGCUGUUACCAUUGUUUCAGAUCUGCGCACCUCUGUGCGAGGUGACUGUCCUUUUCCACGCUGAAUCAGCUGAUGCUAUCCGUCAAGGUGCAAUGUCGAUUUGUAUGAAAAGUUUUGCAGGGAUCAGAUGGCAAUGGGGAACUUGGAAGUAAUCCUGUAUAUACAAACUGGGAGCUGGUUUGUUUGCUGGCAUGUACUGUGCUCAAACAUCGUACAAGACUUAUUAACAAAGCAAUCAGGUCAGGGGCGGAGCUAGCCAACGGAGUCACUGGUGUCAAGUCCACUGAACACCGGUGUCAGCUCUGACAGUGUAGAACAGUGGUUUCUCACUGAUUUUGCAGCAAGAUAAGUACACGUAGCUCCGCCCCUGAGUCAGGAGCCAGGAGCUGCCGAAUGGGAUCUAGCUCUCAUGAGACGAUGCCUACCCAUUUAAGUUCCCAUGGCGACAAGACCUCUUCUGUUUUGGCGCGAACCUUCUCGGGUCAAAUGAUCCGGUCAACAAGCGAGUGAUCUCCCGCCAAUUCUGUCAGGAGCAGGGGCACCACCUGCAUCGGCAGAAGCUGGGGCAGGAGCAGGAGCCGCAACACCGCCACCAGCCGCAGCACGUGGCCCAGGAGCAAUCGAACCAGCAGCAACCGCAGCAGCAGCACCCCGUGUUCUGCCGCCGCUCCGCCUCCGUCGUCAUCUCCUCGAAGGCCGACACGGGGGCCUCCAGCUUCGGCGGCUGCUGGUCGUACUCCUUCUCCAGCGCCUGGAACAGCGCGCUGCCGGCGAGGUCCUUCUUCUUCGGCGACGUCGGUGCCAGUCUGCGGGUGAAGAGGACAGGGUUCAUCAAGAACGGCCAUGGCGCAAUAUAGACAGGGAGGAGAAAGGUCGUGGCGCGGCGUCGCGUACAUCGGGAAGGCGAAGGAGAAGUUGCUCGAGCUGCCCCCGGAGCCGCUGUCGUGCCGCCGGAACACGGUGGCUUUCUUGGCGUUGGCGCUCCCGCCGCUGGCGCGCGAGCUCGCGCUGCCCGGCGCCGCGAACUCCGCCGACUCCAUCCCCUCCGCGACGCUCGGCAGCUUGGACUCCGCCUCCGCGGCCGCCAUGGCCUCGUCGUAGAAGAAGUCGAAGUGCGACCUGCUGCCGGCGUAGGGCCCGCCGACGUCGCUGGCGCCCUGGAUGCUGAACAGCGACUCGUUGGACGUCAUGCUCCACUCGGCCUGCGACAUGGACGCCCUGGUCUGGAACACGGACGCCGGGAUCCUCUGCGGGUCGAACUCGCCGGUCCCGGCCCCGGCGCCAUCGAGCUUGGCCAUCGUCUGGACCUGCGGCGCCUCCGUCAGCCCCGUUGGUGCCGCGCCGGCGCUACCGUCCGACGAGGAGGAGUACUCGACGGCCGGGGGCGGUGGCUCCGGCCACGCCGCCCAGUCGUCCGGUUUGACCUCCGCGCCGCGCACGGCGGGGGCGGCGGCCUGUUCGUCCUCCGGCAGCGCCCGGUCGUCCGGUUUGACCUCCGCGCUGUGUUCGGGGGCGGCGGCGUGCUCGUCCUCCAGCGUCGCACGGUCGUCCUGUUUACCCCUGGCGCCCUGUACGGUAGGAUCGGCUUGCUCGUCCCCCACCGUCGCCGAGCCGUCCGGUUUGCCCUCGGCGCUCUGUAUGGAAGAAGCGACAGCGAAUUGUUCGUCCUCCGGCGCUGGCAGCAACGUGUCGCCGAGCUCGACAACGUCGACAUGGCGAGGGCUCUCGGCCGAUGACUCGGACGACGACGACGAGGAGGAUGACGAGGAGGUCGACUUCCUGCCCGGCUCCUGCUCGGUGGCCUCCUCCAUUGGCUCGUCCGGCGUCGGCACCUUGGCACUGCCUGGUGACGGCGGCGUGCCCGGGGACGGCGGCGACGCCGGCGAGCCGGGCUGGGGCUCCAUGACCACGUGCUGCCGCCAUGGCACAUUGACCACCCGUAUCAAUCACUCGAUUUUAAUUUCAUAGUCGGAUCAGAUAACAGAAAUAAAAUCGACGGAUUGUGAAGGAUCAAAUCCUUGGCUCAUCACCCUCACCUGAGGAACAGGAGGAGCCCCAACUCGAGGAGGAGUUGGGGGGACGGAGCCGCGACGAGAAGGGCGGGCUGCACGCAGCCGCGGCAGCUAAGGACGGCACCGCCGUUUUGGCGGUUGGUUCGAGCGACGCGAGGCCACUCUAUUUUUGGUUGACUCGUGUCGCGGCGAAUCAUCAUCACGCGCUACGACCCCGGGGGCACCGCUCAAAUGCAGAAACGGCACGGCACGGCACCGAACCCACCCUGUCCCAGACUAAAUCGAGGCAUGGCCGCACGGGUGUCUCCUCUGCACAGACGUCGGAGAUCGCCGGGAAGUUUCUUCUUCCUUGUUGAGCUGUCAGAGACGAAGCACGUAGCUAGUUCGACAGUGACACUCCGGCGGGCGGCGGCGGCGGCGGCCGAGAUCGAGCUUGCAGUCGAUCGAUCAGUAGGCCGCCGGCAGCCGCACUGCAGGGCGCGCCAGUCUGCAGAUGGUAUAGGCCUUGCCUCGUUGUCGCACCCGGUUUU